UACGUAGGGAGCGAGCGUUGUUCGGAUUUACUGGGCUUAAAGGGCGCGUAGGCGGCCCGUUAACUCGGUGGUGAAAUCCCGCCUCUCAAAGGCGGAAUGGCUACCGAAAGUGGCGGGCUCGAGGGUGGGAUAGGAGAGUGGAACUCCUGGUGUAGCGGUGAAAUGCGUAGAUAUCAGGAGGAACGCCGGCGGCGAAAGCGGCUCUCUGGAACAUUCCUGACGCUGAGGCGCGAAAGCCGGGGGAG
rnacentral:rRNA from 1 species